rnacentral:rRNA from 1 species
AAAACUCAAAAACUUGUCUCAGUUCGGAUUGUAGGCUGAAACUCGCCUACAUGAAGCUGGAGUUGCUAGUAAUCGCGAAUCAGCAUGUCGCGGUGAAUACGUUCCCGGGCCUUGUACACACCGCCCGUCAAACCAUGAGAGUUGGCAACACCCGAAGUCGGUAGUCUAACCGCAAGGAGGACGCCGCCGAAGGUGGGGUUGAUGAUUAGGGUUAAGUCGUAACAAGGUAUC